rnacentral:lncRNA from 1 species
AGAAGGAGAAAAAUAAUUAAUUUGCUUUAACUCCUCUAUUCACCAGGAUUUGUGUCAAGCCUUCCAAAUAUCUGACCUCAUUUAAACCGCAUGAGGUAGGCACUUACUAUCAACAAAUUAUACAUAAGAAAAUUGAGAGUAAGUAACUCACUUGAAGUCACAUACCUUGUAUGUAGGAGAAUAGUUAGACUUCUAAUCCAAGCUGUUUAAUCUUAUAGCUAGUGAUCUUUCCCAUUAUAUAUAGUUUAGGUCACAUCAGAAAGUAACAGGAGUUUAUCUUUUGUUGGUCUUGGUUGUUUAGUUCUGUUCUGUUUUGAGACAGGGUCUCACUAUGUAGCCCAGGCUGGCCUGGAACCCACAAUGAUCUCCCUGCCUCAGCCUCCCAGAUUGCUUAGAUUAUCGGCAUGUGCUACCACACCUGGCAGAAAUUUCUUCAAGGUUGGACCUUAAGAAAUGGCUGGAUUUCAUCAGAUGAAAAGAGAAGGAACUUUUCAUGUGGAAGUAAUACCACCUCUAGGCAGAGAGGUUUCUAUGGAGUGAAAACAACACUGAUAAGGCCCUUCUGAGGACUGACUGAGAUGAUGCACUUGGCAGAGACCCUGGCACUCAAUACAUGAGUAAAAAGAGACUACAAAAGUAUCUCAAUCAUGAGAUUAUUGUGAAGAGUAAAUGAAA